AUUGAACGCUGGCGGCAUGCCUAACACAUGCAAGUCGAACGGUAACAUGAAACCUCUUGCUGUUUCGCUGCCUAGUGGCGGACGAGUUAGUAAUGUCUUGGAAACUGCCUGCUGGAGGGGGAUAUCUACUGGAAUCGUUUCUUAAUACCGCAUAACUUCGCACUUCCAAUGAGGGGGCCCUUCGGUCCUUUUUCCAUCGGGUGUGCCCAGAUGGGAUUAGCUAUCAGUUGGUGUACCGGGUCACUUAGGCGCCGCUCUCUAGCUGGUCUGAGGGGAUGAACAGCCACACGGGAACUGAGACACAGUCCAGACUCCGACGGGAGGCAGCAGUGGGGAAUAUUGCGCAAUGGGCGCAAGCGUGAUGCAGCCAUGCCGCGUGUAUGAAGAAGGACUUCGGGUUGUAAAGUACUUUAAGCGGGGAGGAAGGGAGGAAAGUUAAUACCUGUACUCAUUGACGGUACCCGCAGAAGAAGCACCGGCUAACUCCGUG
rnacentral:rRNA from 1 species